rnacentral:rRNA from 1 species
UGCAAGUCGAGCGAACAGAUGAGAAGCUUGCUUCUCUGAUGUUAGCGGCGGACGGGUGAGUAACACGUGGGUAACCUACCUAUAAGACUGGGAUAACUCCGGGAAACCGGGGCUAAUACCGGAUAAUAUUUUGAACCGCAUGGUUCAAUAGUGAAAGACGGUUUCGGCUGUCACUUAUAGAUGGACCCGCGCCGUAUUAGCUAGUUGGUAAGGUAAUGGCUUACCAAGGCGACGAUACGUAGCCGACCUGAGAGGGUGAUCGGCCACACUGGAACUGAGACACGGUCCAGACUCCUACGGGAGGCAGCAGUAGGGAAUCUUCCGCAAUGGGCGAAAGCCUGACGGAGCAACGCCGCGUGAGUGAUGAAGGUCUUCGGAUCGUAAAACUCUGUUGUUAGGGAAGAACAAAUUUGUUAGUAACUGAACAAGUCUUGACGGUACCUAACCAGAAAGCCACGGCUAACUACGUGCCAGCAGCCGCGGUAAUACGUAGGUGGCAAGCGUUAUCCGGAAUUAUUGGGCGUAAAGCGCGCGUAGGCGGUUUCUUAAGUCUGAUGUGAAAGCCCACGGCUCAACCGUGGAGGGUCAUUGGAAACUGGGAAACUUGAGUGCAGAAGAGGAGAGUGGAAUUCCAUGUGUAGCGGUGAAAUGCGCAGAGAUAUGGAGGAACACCAGUGGCGAAGGCGGCUCUCUGGUCUGUAACUGACGCUGAUGUGCGAAAGCGUGGGGAUCAAACAGGAUUAGAUACCCUGGUAGUCCACGCCGUAAACGAUGAGUGCUAAGUGUUAGGGGGUUUCCGCCCCUUAGUGCUGCAGCUAACGCAUUAAGCACUCCGCCUGGGGAGUACGACCGCAAGGUUGAAACUCAAAGGAAUUGACGGGGACCCGCACAAGCGGUGGAGCAUGUGGUUUAAUUCGAAGCAACGCGAAGAACCUUACCAAAUCUUGACAUCCUUUGACCGCUCUAGAGAUAGAGUCUUCCCCUUCGGGGGACAAAGUGACAGGUGGUGCAUGGUUGUCGUCAGCUCGUGUCGUGAGAUGUUGGGUUAAGUCCCGCAACGAGCGCAACCCUUAAGCUUAGUUGCCAUCAUUAAGUUGGGCACUCUAGGUUGACUGCCGGUGACAAACCGGAGGAAGGUGGGGAUGACGUCAAAUCAUCAUGCCCCUUAUGAUUUGGGCUACACACGUGCUACAAUGGAUAAUACAAAGGGCAGCGAAUCCGCGAGGCCAAGCAAAUCCCAUAAAAUUAUUCUCAGUUCGGAUUGUAGUCUGCAACUCGACUACAUGAAGCUGGAAUCGCUAGUAAUCGUAGAUCAGCAUGCUACGGUGAAUACGUUCCCGGGUCUUGUACACACCGCCCGUCACACCACGAGAGUUUGUAACACCCGAAGCCGGUGGAGUAACCUUUUAGGAGCUAGCCGUCGAAA